GAUGAACGCUGGCGGCGUGCUUAACACAUGCAAGUCGAACGGUGAACGAGGGAGCUUGCUCCCUCCGGAUCAGUGGCGAACGGGUGAGUAACACGUGAGCAAUCUGCCCCGAACUCUGGGAUAAGCGCUGGAAACGGCGUCUAAUACCGGAUACGACGCGCGAAGGCAUCUUCUGCGCGUGGAAAGAAUUUCGGUUCGGGAUGAGCUCGCGGCCUAUCAGCUAGUUGGUGAGGUAACGGCUCACCAAGGCGACGACGGGUAGCCGGCCUGGGAGGGUGACCGGCCACACUGGGACUGAGACACGGCCCAGACUCCUACGGGGGGCAGCAGUGGGGAAUAUUGCACAAUGGGCGAAAGCCUGAUGCAGCAACGCCGCGUGAGGGACGACGGCCUUCGGGUUGUAAACCUCUUUUAGUAGGGAAGAAGCGAAAGUGACGGUACCUGCAGAAAAAGCACCGGCUAACUACGUGCCAGCAGCCGCCGUAA
rnacentral:rRNA from 1 species